AUUUGGUAAAGGGAAUACUCCUGAAUGCAGCCUUCAAUUAAGCUCCUAAAUCCCAGGAAGAGAAACAGGAACUUUGAGAAGAGAAACCUCCCACUUUAGUUUUGCUUUUCUAUGGAUCUAAUUUUCCAAAGGUUCCCAGAGCCUUGGAUAUUCAAAUGGCUCUUUCUAUGUGCUGAUUGUUAAGAAUCCAAACCAAAGCAGGUGGAUGAUCCUUUAGCAGUCAUAAAGCACCUCUGUGGUGGGUAACAGUGAGGAGAUCUGAUCUCAGAGGCUCUGCACAACUCUUCCUUCAGCACCUGCACUUGGAAAGCUGGAAAACAGAGAUUUGUAAAGCAAGUGGAAGAAAAGGAUUUGCAAACCUCUGCUGUUCUAGCAGAGCUCAGGCACUGCCUUGGAAUUACAAAGAUAGAGCAUGUGUCGUUCCCAGCUUUCCGUGGUGCUCUGCUAAUUUUCCUGCAUGCUGAGAGAUAAAAUGGAUCCUCUGGAAUUCCUCCAAAUUAAACCCAGGCUCCCUCUCCCCCUGCCAGCAGGGAACAGCCUCUGUUUGUCACCAGCAGCGUAACUCCACCUUUAUCAGGUAUUUCCAGUGCUCCUCAAAACCAGGAGCUGUGAAACAUCUCCCUGGAUUUCAUUACUUUGGAGAUGGAAUGUUAAAUCUCUCAGCUGGGCUUUGUGGCUUCACCAGGUAGAGGCUGAGCUGGAGCAGGAGCUGUGUGUGGAUCCCUCUGUGCUGCUGAGGUGAGCACUGUGAGGGAGCUCCGUGUGCUCUCCCUGUGCAGGUGCCGGGCUCCUCGUCCCUCCCUGAGCCUCUGGCUGCCUCUUCCCACAAGGAAUGAUGCUGGAAUGGGCUGCAGUAGGUUCCUGUUCGGGCUAGGUGAAGGGAUGGGAGAAGCCAAGUGCUAUGUGCUGAUGCUCCUGUGCCAAGUCUGUCCAGGCCUCGUGGGAAUCCUGUGGGACGUGGGUGCAGCCUUUUCUCAGGAAUGCAACACAGAGCUGUGGAAAUCAAUCCAGCCCAGCUGGAACACACAUGCACGGGCUGGUUCCUCCUCUGUCAGCUCAGGUUAUCCGUCCAAACCUGCAGUGAGGAAACCUUUCACUGUUGCUUCUUCCCUUGUAGCCAACUCAUUCCCUGUUUUCUGGCUUUCGGAUCUCACCCCUGCAGCCUUCCAGGCCAAGUUCCAGGUCUUCCCUCCCUCCUUGGACUUCCUUCUGUGCCUGGUGCUCAUCCCCAGGGGCUGCAAUUCCAGCUGUUUGUGGGUAAGAUCAACUCUUGCCAGGUGAGCCCAAAGCCCAGCCCAGCACAGUGGCACCUGGGUGAGAUCAGGCCCUGCUUCUUGGUUCUGCAUUCCUGGACUUCCAGCUGAUAUGUCCAGGGGCUACCAGGGAAGGGAAAACCUGAGGAUGGAGGUGGUGGGGAGGUGCCUGGUGAUCACCUGGCUCAUUAGUCCAGCUACCAAAUGAAUGACAGCAAACAGCAGCUCCCAUGGGAACUUUUGAAUGUUGGGACUGUCAGAGCCUCAUUUUUCAGGGUUAUUUUAUUUGCAGGUGUUUCCCUUAGACUCCUCUGCCAUCAGAGUUUGGUGUUCCAUCAGCCUGGGGCAGCUUGACUUCCCAGAGCAUAAGCCUGCUCCCAACCAGCUUCUGCAGAGCCCAAACUUCCCUGUGUUCAUUUUCUUGUUAUUGUAUUUAGUCUCUGGUGACUACCGAGCUGACAGCUGACGAUCCGGAACGUUAAUCCUGGAUAAUGUGACAUGGAACAUUUCCGCGGCUCCUCGGCACAGGUUUCCCUCCUCAUGCUCCCUUUGAGUUUGGAUUUGUUUGUUUCCCAAGGCAAACUCUGGAUCUGGCUCCCAUCAACAGCACCCUUUCGACAGAUCCCAAAAUUUAUAUAUUUAUUUAAGUAAUUCUCAGAUAAGGGGGCUAUUUCGGGAAUGGGAUUCUUGUGGCAGUCCUGGGAGAGGGUUGGAUCCAGCACGGGAUGAGCUUUAAGCACUGGGAUGCUCAAGAUGCCUCUGCCCAGAGGAAGAUGCUGUGGGGGGACCCUGAUGAGGGCACAGGUGCCCCCACAUCUCCCUGGCACUGCCCAGCAACUCUCUCCUUCCAGAAAUAGCCCCACACUGGCAUGAGCUCAGGAAUAUUUUGCUGUUAUUUUUAAAAAUUCCAGAGGAAUUGGAGCUCAGGGGACCUGCACCAAGGCCACCCCUGGCCAAAAAAGGCCUGAAAAUGGCAUUGCAUUCUCAGAGCUGGCAGGAAUGCUGAGGAUUCCCGCAAGGAACC